rnacentral:rRNA from 1 species
CUUUCCCCUUCGGGGGACAAAGUGACAGGUGGUGCAUGGUUGUCGUCAGCUCGUGUCGUGAGAUGUUGGGUUAAGUCCCGCGACGAGCGCAACCCUUAAGCUUAGUUGCCAUCAUUAAGUUGGGCACUCUAGGUUGACUGCCGGUGACAAACCGGAGGAAGGUGGGGAUGACGUCAAAUCAUCAUGCCCCUUAUGAUCUGGGCUACACACGUGCUACAAUGGACAAUACAAAGGGCAGCUAAACCGCGAGGUCAUGCAAAUCCCAUAAAGUUGUUCUCAGUUCGGAUUGUAGUCUGCAACUCGACUACAUGAAGCUGGAAUCGCUAGUAAUCGUAGAUCAGCAUGCUACGGUGAAUACGUUCCCGGGUCUUGUACACACCGCCCGUCACACCACGAGAGUUUGUAACACCCGAAGCCGGUGGAGUAACCAUUUAUGGAGCUAGCCGUCGAAGGUGGGACAAAUGAUUGGGGUGAAGUCGUAACAAGGUAGCCGUAUCGGAA